AUUGAACGCUGGCGGCAUGCUUUACACAUGCAAGUCGAACGGUAACAGGUUAAGCUGACGAGUGGCGAACGGGUGAGUAAUGCAUCGGAACGUGCCCGGUCGUGGGGGAUAACGCAGCGAAAGCUGCGCUAAUACCGCAUACGAUCUGAGGAUGAAAGCGGGGGACCGUAAGGCCUCGCGCGAUCGGAGCGGCCGAUGUCAGACUAGGUAGUUGGGGGGGUAAAGGCUCACCAAGCCAACGAUCUGUAGCUGGUCUGAGAGGACGACCAGACACGCUGGGACUGAGACACGGCCCAGGCUCCUACGGGAGGCAGCAGUGGGGAAUUUUGGACAAUGGGCGAAAGCCUGAUCCAGCAAUGCCGCGUGCAGGAAGAAGGCCUUCGGGUUGUAAACUGCUUUUGUACGGAGCGAAAAGGUCUCCUCUAAUACAGGGGGCUCAUGACGGUACCGUAAGAAUAAGCACCGGCUAACUACGUGCCAGCCGCCGCAGUAA
rnacentral:rRNA from 1 species